rnacentral:rRNA from 1 species
GGGCGCAGCAGGCGCGAAACCUUUACACUGUACGCMAGUGCGAUAAGGGGACUCCGAGUGUGAAGGCAUAGAGCCUUCACUUUUGUACACCGUAAGGUGGUGUACGAAUAAGGGCUGGGCAAGACCGGUGCCAGCCGCCGCGGUAAUACCGGCAGCCCGAGUGAUGGCCGGUAUUAUUGGGCCUAAAGCGUCCGUAGCUGGCCGGACAAGUCCGUUGGGAAAUCUGUUCGCUUAACGAGCAGGCGUCCAGCGGAAACUGUUCGGCUUGGGACCGGAAGACCUGAGGGGUACGUCCGGGGUAGGAGUGAAAUCCUGUAAUCCUGGACGGACCACCGGUGGCGAAAGCGCCUCAGGAGGACGGAUCCGACAGUGAGGGACGAAAGCUAGGGUCUCGAACCGGAUUAGAUACCCCGGUAGUCC